GGUAGAGGGGAGCUAAAGUGUUAAGAUGAAAAUGGGGGGCCCGAGGGAUGUAAUCAAAUUCAUCAGUUAUAACAUGUAUACCAGAACUAGUAAAUGCACAAUUGGCUGGAAAAAGAGCAAUAUGGACUUGUAUAAUUAUAUAAUGUGUAUGUUUAAUUGUUCAGAAUGCAAAGUUGCAGUAUGUAUUCACAUAGACAUAUAACGGAUAACAUAUCUGUUAUAUGUCUAUGCCCGGGGCAGGGUUGGCAAAAAAGUGGUCGAUAUGAGGCCGGUGGUCAAUACUGGUUGAAACUGGUUAAUACUGGUCGAUUGAAAAUUGUUUGGUAUAUAUAAUAUACUUAUAAGUCAUAUUACAUAAAUAAUGUACAAAUGACUGUUGAAUAUUGGGGAGAUGUAAAAGUUUCUGUUCAAAUUCCUUAAUUUAACAAGAACUACCUUAGUAUAAGUAUUGUUUCAUCAAUCUUCAUUUUAACUGUUGAAUAAACAUUUGAGAGUGGGUUAGUGAUGUUUUCAUAACAAUAACAGGUACACUGGUCAUCUCUGGUCCCAGCCUAUGCUUAUUAACACCUGUCCACUCUGCUUCCUGGGCUCAGGUAAUGUCCAGCUACCUUUUAUUCGUAAUCUGUCCAGGUACAUGUAUUAAGAGGUCUGUCUCCAAUAAUCAAGCUAUGUUAUAGAACUGUGACCCUCUGGUAGGUACUGAAGAUAUUUCGGUCAGCUUUAGCAAACCAAAUAUAUUAAACUUAUGAAAUUACAUUUGAUUAUCUAAUGAAAAAUAUUAAUCAACAAUUGAUCCAUAUAAUGAAAAGACUUAAUUUAUCUUUAUCUUUGCAAGAAAUGUACAAAAAUAGGAAAAUGGACAGUUUAAAUCACAAUUGACCAUUAUUGACCACUUGGGGAGUAUUGACCAGGACAGUUAAAACCACUGGUUAAAACCGGGGGCGGUUUUAACCGUCCAACCCUGCUAUGCCUCUAUGGUAUUCAGAGAUAGAUCAUACUAACUAAUUACUUUUUCUUUAAUUAAGUGAAUUUAUACAUUACUUGUUUCUCCUAACUACAUGUACUACUUUAUGGCAUAAAUUGAAGAUUCAGUCCCUGGUGUUGGAGAUCUUUUAUCUUGAAAACAAUAGAUGCUAGUGCCACACAACCAAAGAAUGUAGUAAACAUACUGCUACCUUUGCAUGUAUUAAUUAGCAAAUUAAGGUACUAGGAAAUAUAAAUGUAAGGAACAAAUGUCUAGGGUGUUUUUUUAUCUAUUAAAAAGAUUGUAUCAAACUCUAAAUCUAAUAAGUAAAAUUUUGUAAUAUUCCAGCUUCAGGAAGUUUAUCCUAUCAUAAUGGAGAUGAUUAUAGCUACUUUGAACCUACUUUCAUGGAUCUACCAUAUUAUCUUUUUUUUACUAUGACAUUUGACUGUUACUUUUCAAAGAAGGUGUAAUUUAUAAGUAUAACGUGCAUCACAUGCAAUUUUAAUGAUGCAGGCAAAUAAUUUUGAUGCAAUAUAAUUAAUAAAAGGCAAGCGUGAACUGUAGAUUUACCCAGAUUAGAUUCAAUAAGUACAUAUAAAUGAUAUUAAAAUCCUGCGUGCUCGUUCCAUAUAAUGUCCCUUGAACAUUACAAGUAUUUACUUAUUCCAAAUACAUGUAGUUCAAAAUUAAGUCAGAAAUUCUAAAAAAAAAAAUUUUAAAUUAAAGUUUAUUUCAGGAAACAAAGCCUGUCUGAAACUCCAAAAUGACAUUUCCAGAAAGCUGAAGAAUGGAUAAAAAUGUAUCUACCAUCUUACAACCCAGAUUUCAUUCCACUGAAAAGAAAAGGGACAGGAAAUUUUGCAUGUCCAUGUCUUGGAAGGUGAAUAGGUGAAAAGUCAAUAGAUGCUUACCAUAUCAGAUGCUUGCAGAGGAUACUGGGGAUAAAGUAGCAGAAAAUUAUGGAAAACAGGAAGUGGCAGCCAGGACUGACAUCAAUGCAAUAAACAAUGAGCUGAGGAGACGGUGAUGGAACUAUAUAGGACACGUGCUAUGGAGGGGAGGUGACAAUGACAGUGAGAUGGCGUUGGGUUGGACACCAGAAGGGAAGAGGGCAUUUAAGAGACCGAAAACAACCUGGAGAGGAACAGUAGAAGCAGAAAGAAAGAUUGCAGAAUGGAGAAACUUGAAUGAGAUCAAGAUGGUAGCAAUAGAACAGAGUGGAUUGGAGAGAGUCUCGGUCCUAUGUGUUUUUGGCAUGGAGAGAACUAAGUAAUGUCUAGAUUGUUGGAGAUAGGAUGACCAGGAAUAUGAAUGGAUGUGCUGGAAACUGUACUAAGACCCUUAUGUAUUUGGAUAGAUUUACAUACCAUCAUGAUUUUGCUAUGAAAAACUUGAAAAAAAUCCUCAACUCAUAUUGUAGCUGACAUUGUACAUUUGUACUUAUUAAUAUUUCAAAUGAACAUAUUUUUAGACAUACAAUAUCUAAACUUUGGAGUCCAUGUACAUCUCCACAUUGGAUAAUAGGUUAUGAUGUAUGUGUGUGAAAUCUUUUCCUAUGGUAUGCACAUGUUAACACAUUAGUUUAAAUGAUGAUGUAUAUCUUAUGACUAUGGAAGAGAUUGUGUUCAGAACAGAAUAUGUGUCUAGAAGAGUUGUUGCCCUUGAAUGUAAUUCAUUAUUUACAUGGGGUUGAAAAAUAAUCCAGCACACAGUAGUACUAAAUGCAUUAUGUUAAAAUACGUUUAUGAAGGGUAUAAGUGAUACUGUCCAUUACUGAUUAAUACACUUUGUGAAAUCAUAUUGUUAUGUUUAAUAAAUUUCAAGGCUGCACCUUUGUACAUUUUACAAUAUAAUAUUCUGCACUUUGGUAUCAAAUUCUCUUAACCUAAUUUAAGAGUUACAUAUUCAUUAACAGCAAGUUAAUUAUGAUAUGCUAUGUAGUUUGUCAAAGGGGCAUUAGCUGUGAAAGUGAUGGCAACCUUUUUAUUCAAAAUCUCUCAAUAAGAAUAUAUAUUAAUGCCUAAUAAUAAUAUUUAUUUUGUACAAAAACAUGAGAAACCUAAUAAAACGACAAUAGAUUGUCACUUUUAGUGUAUAGAAAUACAUAAGGACGAAUUAUUGUCUUGCAAGACAAUAAUCAUUUAAUUACCAAAAUUCAUGUGAUAUUCAUACACAUUAAUGUGCCUGUUUUGGGGUUAAAAGGUGUUUGAAAUAAUUAAAUACUGGUGUUAUCACUGAAAUAUACAUGUAUGAUAUGGAGCCAUUUAAUUAAUUUUUUGGUAUCAAAAUGGCAGCUAAUGCCCCUUUAAGAAUAACUAUUUUCAAUGCACAUCAUAAUAACCUUGUUAAGCUUGAAAGAAUAUUGGCUAUAAGGAAUCUUGAUCAUAAAUAUUAAAAAUAUUUUUAAUUUC